rnacentral:lncRNA from 1 species
GGCAUGGAAGAUGAAGAAAGGAGGGUGUUGGUGAAGGGAAAGAAACUGUUUCUCCUCGAAAGGCCCAGGUUGCAUCUAAAAAUUUUUCUAUUCAUCUACAUAUUAAGGAUCAAAUUCUUAUCUGAUUAGCAGUAAAAUCAUAGAUUAAAUCUCAAAUAAUCUGAUAUAAACUUUUAUAGAGGCCUAGAUGUGCAGACCCUCUACUUCGCAUGCACGUCAGAUGCCGCAGGAAAGU